rnacentral:rRNA from 1 species
GACGGGAGAUGCAAGCGUUAUUCGGAUUUAUUGGGCGUAAAGGGUUUGUAGGUUGUUGGUUAAGUCUAUGGUCAAAUUCCGAAGCUCAACUUCGGGCCGGCACUAGAAACUAAUCAACUUGAGUACGUUAGAGGCAGGGGGAAUUCCCAGUGUAGCGGUGAAAUGCGUAGAUAUUGGGAGGAACAUCAAUGGCGAAGGCACCCUGCUAGGCCGAUACUGACACUGAAAAACGAAAGCUAGGGGAGCAAAUGGGAUUAGAUACCCCAGUAGUCCUAGCUGUAAACGAUGGGGACUAAACUUUGGUUUUAAACAGAGUUAAAGCUAACGCGUUAAGUCCCCCGCCUGGGGAGUACGCCCGCAAGAGUG